rnacentral:rRNA from 1 species
UAAUACGGAGGAUCCGAGCGUUAUCCGGAUUUAUUGGGUUUAAAGGGUGCGUAGGCUGGCCGUUAAGUCAGCGGUGAAAUCCCCGUGCUCAGCGCGGGAACUGCCGUUGAUACUGGCGGUCUUGAUUCAUGUCGAGGGCGGCGGAAUGUGAAGUGUAGCGGUGAAAUGCGUAGAUAUUUCACAGAACUCCGAUUGCGAAGGCAGCUGCCUAGAGAUGCAAUGACGCUGAGGCACGAAAGCAUGGGUAUCAAACAGGAUUAGAUACCCUGGUAGUCCAUGCAGUAAACGAUGAAUACUCGUUCUGCGGCAGAAUUGUGCUGCGGAACCAAGCGAAAGCGAUAAGUAAUCCACCUGGGGAGUACGCCGGCAACGGUGAAACUCAAAGGAAUUGACGGGGGCCCGCACAAGCGGAGGAACAUGUGGUUUAAUUCGAUGAUACGCGAGGAACCUUACCCGGGCUUGAAAUCAGGGGGAAUGGCGUGGAGACAUGCCAGCCGCGCAAGCGGCCGCCUGGUAGGUGCUGCAUGGUUGUCGUCAGCUCGUGCCGUGAGGUGUCGGCUCAAGUGCCAUAACGAGCGCAACCCCAUCUUCAGUUACCAGCGGGUUAAGCCGGGGACUCUGGAGAGACUGCCACCGCAAGGUGCGAGGAAGGCGGGAUGACGUCAAAUCAGCACGGCC